GGCUUCAUAAGAUCUAACACUUACCGAGCCUUUAGCCGAAAGGUUCCAUUACCCUUGCGUAACCGUACAGUAUUGACCAGGUUCAGGCUUACUUGAAAAGCAUAAUUACCCUAAUGCUGUGUACAUUGGCACCGUGUCUCAAUGCUAUUGGAACACCUGCUAUAGCUAUCCAACUAAGGGAUAUUCUGUUCGACGCCAAUAAUUUACUGGCGACACACCACCCAUAUAUAACCCCUAUAAGGCCAUCACCUGAGCAGGAAAAAGAAACAUUGUUAGCUUUUACGGACUACAUACUGACACGGUUGAGGAUGGUUGAGGGAACGAACCC